ensembl:lncRNA
UGCACUUCAAACUGUGUUUAUACAAUGCAGUAAAGCAUAAUGGAAACAUUAGAAGUUUCAUGUAAAUUAAAUAUGCCAGAGCAUCAGAGAUAGCAUGUGAAUAUAAAAGACCUCAAUAUGGCUAAUUAAGGGGAAUGAAAAAAAUGAUCUGAAAUGUCUGCCUGAUAAUUAUAAAGAGCAGUAUGAACAGAUAAGGAUAGUAUACACAAAAUGAUGAGGCUUUAGUUUUCUUUACUCAAAAUUCAGCACCACAGAAAGUCCAGUCAGACUGAGUUGAUUUUCAGGACCUUGGACAAGACUACAAUGUGGAAAAUGUGUGCUUUCAAUGUAUUUUGCAGUGUUCAUUUAAAAAAAAAAAAAAAUGUUGGGGGACGAAUUGUGAUCAUGUUGAUAUAAGGGAAACUUGACCUUUUAAUAUAUGAUUUUAUAUAAUAUAUGAUUAUUACUAUUUAGUUCUGUUUUCAUGAGGACUUCAAUAAUCAUUGCAGUAGUAAUUUUACUCUUUUGGUGUGUGUGUGUGUUCCAGACAGAGCAGCAGCUGGAGAAUUACGUGGAGAAAAUGGAUAUCAAGAUCACAAAGACAGAAAAUCCAAAAUGCUUACCUCAGAAUGUGAGACCAUCUGCACUAAAAGAAAACAUCACUGUUAAGGCCUGUUCACAUCAAGAAUGA